UUACUACUCCCACCAUCCUAAAAUUCUUGUCUUAGAUUUGUCCAAAUACGGAUGUAUCAAGUCACGUUUUAGUAUUAGGUACAUCCGUAUCUAGACAAAUCUAAGACAAGAAAUUUAGGACGGAGGGAGUAUAUA
rfam:Triticum aestivum genome assembly, contig: Triticum_aestivum_CS42_TGACv1_scaffold_049435_1BS